CGCCAAGCUCUGAACCAUUGGAUAAACACAUGGAAGCUGCCUUUAGCUAUGAAAACAUGACCAGCCAUUGGUUUGGGACACCAGUUUAGGAAGAUGUUAGGUUUAGGAAGGAGAUAGGAAAAUAUUGGUUCUCAAAUAGAGUGGUAGAUGAAUGGAACGGAGUCAGUAAUCAUGUUGUUAGUGCUAGGACACUAGAGAGCUUUAAGAGAAGAUUAGGCAAGUUUGUGGAUGGGGAUAAUAGAUGGAAAUAGGUAUAUUUUAUGCAGGGACUGCCACGUGUAAGCCUGGUCGCUUCUUGCAGCUUCCCUUAUUUCUUAUGUUCUUAUGUUCAACUCACAAUCCCAGCCACAGCUAAGUUAUUAGUUAUUUGUAAUUAUAUUUAGUGAUCCUUUUCUGUGAUGAUGUGUUAGCUGGGAGAUUCCUGAGUGACCCAUAAGGUUUAAUAGUUGCCACAACAUUCAGACCUAAGGAAAGUGAAUUAUUGUUUCUGGCGUGGGGGCUAGCGGAUGUAGGCUUUUAAGGAUGCUUUCAUGACUUUAGUAAUACAGUAAAAUCCCUCAUAUCCGGCAUCAACGGGACCGCCGACAUGCCGGAUACUUGAAUAGAAGUGAAAUUAUGUCCACAAUCACCACCCUACAUUCAUGCAUCUUACCAUAACAAAGAUGAGCUGAUCGCCGUGCCGCGCGUCGCCACCCGCGCUGCCACCUCACACUCACCAACACACAGUUGUAGCAUUGGGCCUGUAAUUGUGACUCCUGAUCUUUUCAAGCUGAACCACUCGUAUAAUACUUUGUCCAUCAUUUCACCACGAUGAUACUGCAGUGUGUGACAAUUUUCCGCUGCCUUUGGGGUGUCGGUGGCUUUCAUGUAAUCCGGCUUUUCGUUUGGGAUUUAAUGUCAUAAAUAGUUGAUGAGUCCACACCAUAUUCCGCCAUUAGUUGCUGUCUGCUUUCACCUCUCUCUAAUCGUCAACAAAUGUCUACCUUCUGCUUAAGUGUAAGCACAACACGCUUCCUCUUUUCUACAACUUUAGGCAUGAUGAAGGCGCCAGGCGAUAAACAGUGCACACGCGGGACCGAGUCACUGAGUAGACACAGUGCACUGGGCCGCGGGUGGCGCGAAGCAGUGCGCUCUGGUAUGCCUCGCGCGGGAAUUUUAAUCGAUUUUAUGAGUACACAUUGAUUUUUAUUGAUUUUAAGGCUCGGGGAAAAAUGUGCCGGAUACUCGAAUGCCAGAUGAGAGGGAUUUUACUGUACUUCAACAAGAAUUUCAACCAUGUAAGCAAAAACAACCAGCAAUGGUCAGCGGGGGACGAGACUACUCAGGCCACAUAGAGGCCAAUGUUCACCUGGGCCUCGCCACUCCUGAAGAUGCAAAGAUUGUGAUGGUGCGUGGCGACAACCUGUACUAGCACUACGGCUGUGACGGCUUCGAUAACUGGGUUUCCCCACUCCUGGGAUAUCUCCCAGAACAUAGGGUAAGGAUAGCAAGACUACUACUACAUUAAUUAGAAUUAAAGUACUUUAUUUUAGGGUAAUGUAGGGGUAAGGAUAGUAUUUUGGACAUGGGGACCCUGACCUAAUGUACUGUAUAUUAUACUAAAUACAGUAUGUAUGUAUGAUGGUGGUGCUACACAUGUGUAUAGCUUAUGUAAACAAGGUUAAUAAAGUGUAAAAAACAUGGUUUUACAAAAAAAAACAUACAAAACCAUGGGUUUACAAAAUAAAACCAUAUUUUUUUUUUAUUUAAUAAAUUCUUAUAUAAAAUUAAAAAUUAUUGAUAUUUUUUUAUUUAUAGAUCACCACCAGGUUAGUUUUAUUUAUAAAUCACUAGGCACCAUUAUUGCAGAGCAUGUUAGGCCAUGAUGGGAGUGGAUAGAGAUAUAUUGAAUUCAAUGAGUAGGGUGUAGUACAAGAUGCAGCAAGGGUUAUGAAACACUUGUAUACAUGGUUUACUACUGGAAGUGAUACCUCAAAGACUUCGGAGAACAACCAAAACAAUACCUCGAAGACUCUUCAGAGAACAACCAAAACGAUACCUCGAAGACUCUUCGGAGAACAACCAAGACAGGUUUCAAACAAAUGGAAUUUAUAAAAAAAAAUCAAAACUAAUAA